AUGGUUUAUUACUUCUCUGCUAAAUAUUUCCCUGCUCAUAAGAAACAAGCUGCUUUGAGGGAUAUAUAUAAUUUUGUGCAAAUUGAAGAGGAGAGUCUCCCACAAGCUUGGGGGAGGCUUCUCAAGUUACUUAAUGCUUUGCCUGAUUAUCCUCUUAAGAAACCUGAAAUACUUGAUAUCUUUUAUAAUGGACUAAUUGAUGCUUCCAGAGAUUACCUGGAUAGUUGUGUUGGUUCUCUUUUCAGGGAAAGAACACCGGAUGAAGCUGAAAUUGUAUUGAAUAAUAUGUUGACAAAUGAAAAUAAUUGGGCACCUCCUGAGUCAACUCCCGAGCCAGCUCCUGAGCCAAUUACUGAGCCUAUUCCUAAACCAACUCCGAAAAAGAGAGGUGUCCUAUUUCUCAGUCCCGAAGAUAUGCAAGAGGCAAAGAAAACUAUGAAAGAAAAAGGUAUUAAAGUUGAAGAUGUUAAGAAUUUACCUCCUAUUGAAGAAAUACAUGGUCUUAAUUUACCGCCUGUUGAAGAAGUAUAUGAUCUCAAUUACUUAUUUAAUGAAGAACCUCCCGACAUCCCGACACAGGUAGUAAAGGUAAAUUCUCUCUACAGAUAUGAUAAAAGUGAAGUCCCUUCUACUAAAAUUGCUAGUCAGUGCUUGGAUGAGUUUGAUGACUUUAUGUUUAAGCAAGAUGACUUUAAUGCUUAUUUUGGUAGACAAUUAAAACAGAACACCUUUAUGCUUAAACGCUUGAGUGAUUAUAUAGAUAAUAUUAGAGGUGAACUUAAACUUGUUAGCAAACAUGCUUCUAUGGUUACCACUCAAGUAGAACAAGUACUUAAAGCUCAGAAAGAAGUGCUUAAUGAAAUGAAUAGUAAGAAAAAUGAUUAUGCUGUUAGAGUGGCUACUAGAACUGGUAGAAUGACUCAGGUACCUUUGUAUCCUGAAGGCCACCCUAAGAGAAUCGAGCAAGAUUCUCAGAGAAAUAAUAUUGAUAUGCCUAGUUCUUCUAAAAGGAAGAAAAAGAAAAAUGAUAGAACUGUGCAAACUUCUAAUGAACCUAUUGCCGAACCACCUGAUAAUCCAAAUGAUAUAUCUAUGUCUGAUGCUGAAACAUAA
rnacentral:rRNA from 1 species